GAUGAACGCUGGCGGCGUGCCUAAUACAUGCAAGUCGAGCGAACAGACGAGGAGCUUGCUCCUCUGACGUUAGCGGCGGACGGGUGAGUAACACGUGGAUAACCUACCUAUAAGACUGGGAUAACUUCGGGAAACCGGAGCUAAUACCGGAUAAUAUAUUGAACCGCAUGGUUCAAUAGUGAAAGACGGUUUUGCUGUCACUUAUAGAUGGAUCCGCGCCGCAUUAGCUAGUUGGUAAGGUAACGGCUUACCAAGGCAACGAUGCGUAGCCGACCUGAGAGGGUGACCGCCCACACUGGAACUGAGACACGGUCCAGACUCCUACGGGAGGCAGCAGUAGGGAAUCUUCCGCAAUGGGCGAAAGCCUGACGGAGCAACGCCGCGUGAGUGAUGAAGGUCUUCGGAUCGUAAAACUCUGUUAUUAGGGAAGAACAAAUGUGUAAGUAACUAUGCACGUCUUGACGGUACCUAAUCAGAAAGCCACGGCUAACUACGUG
rnacentral:rRNA from 1 species